UUUGUAUUCCCUCCAUCCGAAAAUACUUAUCAUAAAAAUGGAUGUAUCUAGCCGCAUUUUAGUUCUAGAUAUAUCCAUUUUUAUUCAUUUCUAUGACAAAUAAUUCCAGACGAAGGGAGUACCAA
rfam:Triticum aestivum genome assembly, contig: Triticum_aestivum_CS42_TGACv1_scaffold_271734_3DS